rnacentral:rRNA from 1 species
CCGGCACUGUUACUUUGAAAAAAUUAGAGUGCUCAAAGCAGGCUCUUAAUGCCUGUAUACAUAUUCAUGGAAUUGGAGAAUACGUCCCUGGCUCGAUUUGGUUGGUUUUUAGAGUCGAAGGGAAAUGAUUAAUAGGGACUGACGGAGGCAUUCGUAUUCCGACGCGAGGGGUGAAAUCCUGUGACCGUCGGACGACGAACUACUGCGAAAGCAUUUGCCGAGAAUGUUUUCAUUAGUCAAGAACGAAAGUUAGAGGUU